CUAUUACAUUCCCCAAAAACUGAUCUCUGUCAGAAAGUAUCAAGCUUUGAGCUUGAUGAUUCUCUAGUUCAUUGUGUUCUUCCAAUAUUUGAGGUAGAAGAUGGAGCAGUUCAAAGAGAGGAAGUUCGCAGAGAAUGUGGUAAAGGUCAAGAUGAGUGUAAAGUCAUCAGUCAUCAGUCACGGACUUGUGUAGUAAUCACUUGUGCAAUGCUUACGUACUAACUCUUGUAAUCUUGUAUUCUUGCAAACUCUUGUAGUCAU